AUACAUUUAAAAAAAAAAGAAUCUGUUCUUAUCAGUUUAAUAUCUGAUACGUCCCCCAGGGAGUCGGAAAUGGGGCUUGCUCCGUCCGCUCCACGCAUCGACCCGGUAUUGCAGUACCUCCGGGAACGGUGCAACACUU
rnacentral:snRNA from 2 species